CUCAUGAUAGCCCGCCUCAACGGCCGUGCACCGUAGCUGGGGUUGUAGCCUUCAUCCACCACCCGCUCCUUGAACUUCUCAGUAACCUGCAGGUUGAUGUCCUUGGCCUUGAGUCGGUCGAAGACCUCCUGGAGCAUAAUAUCUGCGAUCUCCUUGACCUCGAGCUUGGUGAGCUGCCUGAAGACGAUCAUCUCAUCGAGACGGUUGAGGAACUCGGGGCGGAAGUACUGCUUCAUCUCCUCAAUGACGAGGCUCUUGAUCCUGCCAUAGCUGCUGUCCUUCUCGUCGGAGUCGAGGUCAAAACCAAUCUUACGCCCACCCUUCUCAAUGACACUGCUCCCGACGUUCGAGGUCAUGAUUAGGAGGGUGUUCUUGAAGUCCACUGUUCUUCCCUUGCUGUCGGUCAACCUCCCGUCUUCCAAAAUCUGGAGCAUCAUGUUGAAGACAUCAGGG
rnacentral:lncRNA from 1 species